GGCAGAAUAGCUCAGUUGGUAAGAGCACUGGUGGCGCAAUCAUCUAGAGGUCCCUGGUUUGAUUCCAGGUGCAGCCA